UGUAGAGGCCCUAAUUUUUUUUGAACAUUUGCUGAUAGCAUCAGGAUCUGCAGUGGCUGAACAACUGGAAAGCGUUCAUGGUACGGAGAAAGACACGAGACAAAUAUCCAGGUCUCCUGGAAUAUGUAUGGACUAUGGCAUGACUUGCUGGAUAAAUCAUCUUCCACUGAUACAACUGGAAAUCUCAGUCUGCCCAUCAGCAAUUAUACCAUAACACAAGCUGCAGUGACCUGGGUACCAAGCACAAGUGGGAUACUGUAGUAAAUGGCCCUCCUUUGCUGAAAGCUAAAAUACAAGAAUUAAGCCAUUAGGAAAAGAGAACAGAGACAUGUUAAACCAAAAAGGUCUUUUUGGAUGCAUAAAUUGUUCUCCUGACUGCUACCAGACCUGCUAGAAAAACAGUCUAUUUCAUUCACAAGCAGAUCAUUAGGAAGAGCUGCUUUGCCUUACUUCUGGAUUUAAGGAAUAUCCUGUCUUAUGUGCUUCUGUUAUAAGCAACCCUUCUGUGGUUUAUCAGGAGAAGACACAAAUAAUUACAACUUAGGCAAAGUUAGAACAAAACCAGAGUCUUCCCACCAAUGAACUCCCAACUUGGUGCUUGGACUGUGAAGGAGAAGCAGCUUUGAUUCUCUUACUCAAAGCCUGAAAACAGAUGAAGAAACGCAGCUCACGCCAAACUACUUGGAUUUCUUCAGUGCUUCAGGAGAGUCCUGUGCAAUGAGAGCAGCAGAUUGUUAGAACUGCCCCCAUGCUGUAUGAAGACAAAUUAAUCAUAUCCAAAUAAAGAGUGAAAAAGGAGUAUGAAGAAGGGGAAUGGAAAGAAAAAGAAUUCUAAAUAGAGUGACUGCAGUUCUUUUACCAGAACGUGUGGGCUUUGAUUUUUGCUGUUACUUUUCUUUUCAUCAUGGGAGAGGUCUUUUUCAGAGCUUACAGAGUUUUGAAAAUGUUUUGAUGGAAUUUUUUUGGGGAGGAUUUUUCAGUCAUCACGAGGCAAGGGGAGAUCAUAAAGGGAAAGAGCAGGAAUUUGCAGAACCAAUGGCCUGGGAAGACAGUGGUGUAGGGAAAGGCACCAUUGGGAACGUUCAGCUCCUCAUGAAGGAGGUGGAGCUUCUUUGUGUGAGCCAGGCACUGGAUUUUUGCACGGUGUCCUGAGAUGGCUCUCUCUGCUUGCAGUAAGUAAAAACCAGCUCAAUACAGCUUGUGAGGGCUCCCUGUUUGGGCUGGCUUGGCUAUCUAGGUCCCAACUCCUUUUCAGAAGGUUCAGGGGACAAGAAGCUUAGGCAUGUUUCAGAACAGAACUCCAAGCAGCCUGUGGCUGUACCCCAGAAUUGUGUUUGUGGGCACACGGGUUUUCUCUCUUAGAUUUCUCCCAUUCUUUGAGCAAUAAAGUGAAGGAAAGCUGAUUGGCUUUUUAAAAAAUAUAAUGAUGUUUUAAGUGUACUGUCUGUCUGAGUCAUGCAAAAAUCUUAGUGAUUCCCCUCUGUGAAUAGUGUUGCCUAAAAAUUACCUUAAAUGUCCAAUUAAUUGGUAUUCCAUUUCUGUCUCAAUUUUUUUGAGAAAUGUACUUUAUUCUGCUAGCUGUAGUCCCUCCUAUACUUGGUAGGUUUUUUUUUUUUUUCUCUUUGUCUAGGUACUUAUUUGCAAAUGCUCAGUAGACUAAUUAAGGUUCCUGAAGGUUUAACCUUGUCUUAUCAGUAGAGCCUGAGACUUGCCAUGGUGUCAGCUCAGUAGGCUGGAGGGAAGGGUUCCAGAAUAUAUUGUGUAAUAUUGCCAAACAGGGCUUUGCUGUUGAAAUUACUCAUUUCACAGAGCUUAGGUCAAUGUUAAUGUGACAGGGGACAUUUAAUUCUGUGGGAAGGUGUUUACAUCACAUGGUUUUAAAAGAAAUUUUAUCCCCUGAGUCUAAAGGAAACUAUGCUGCUUGUAUUUGUCUUAAUUGUUUUUUAAUUUGUGAAAGAAAACUGUACUUUUAAUUAAUUUCCAAACAAAAGCAAAUUGUACACUUUGCUUAUAACUGAGUGCACUGGGAUGGAUCUGCAUCAGCAGAGAAUAUUCACCUAUUUUUGUGUAAAGGAAACAUAUUUCUGAAAUAACUGCCAAAAUAUUAGGGGGGCCCUCCCACCCUAUUUAUUUCAAAAUAAAGGCCAGAAAGUUACAGCAGCUCAGGUCAGGCAGAUCCUGCUCUCCUUGAUGUCAUGGUGUGAUGCCAUCAAACAGUGCUAGCUUCUGGUGCUCUCCCUUUUGUUUGAUAAAAUGAAAAACAUUUAAAAUGUCUCUGGUCUUACCUCAUGGAACUAUUGCUAGUCCUUUUAAUUGAGAUUUUGCACCCUAGCUCUGGAAUACAUAUUAUUUUCUCAUGAGAGCUUCUAAUUCCCUUCUAUUUGUGAGACAGAGAUCUUCACUGGAUUUGCAGUACUCAAAAAUAAUAGAGGGCAACAUAAUUUAUAUUUUUGGUUUUUUUAAUUGUCCAGAUAGUAGAUGAUGUCAUUACCCUGUGUUUGGGCCAAAUACGCAAUAUAUACACAUCCUAGAGGAAAGAUUUGUGCCAAAAUUACACCCUUGCCUAUAGCAGUGACAAGCCUCAAAAAAUAUAAAGCUACAUCAAAAUGAAAAAACUAAAAAAAAUAAAACCAAAAAAAAAAGAGCAAGGAAGAAAGAUAUCUUCUUUUGUUGUAUAAUAGUGAAGAGAUGUAUCAAAAUCCAUAAAUUAGGCAGAACUUUAAAUCCACAUAUAAUUUCAAUUACAUACAUCUGUUUCUCCUUAGGAAGAAUGAAGUGAGGUCAACAACUAAACAUUUUACAGCCGUCAAGAUUCUGGGAUGCUUUUAAAGCUAUAUACAUGUGUGAUUUGUAAGAAACCUAUUUAUAUGUAAAAUUUCUCAUUUGAACAUUCAUUCUUUUUAUUAUGCAAACACAAUUUUUUUUGGAAGCUCCAGGCUUGGAAGUGAAGUGAAUGCACGUAUUUCAGCCCAAUGGUAUUGCUCUAUUUUUUUUUUUUUAUUUUAACCCCCUGAUGUUUCUGUUACCAUGAAGAAAAAUAUCUGUUUAACUUUCAGAUCUGCAGAUAGUAGGGAAUACAUGGGACAUAGAUUUUCCUUCAGAAAAGUAUGUAAAAGGUUUCUGAGUUCUUUGACAAAAAUAAAAAUUAAAGGCUUAAUGGAGGUUUUUGAGAGAAGAUGAGCAAGGGAGGAACAUUAUAUGCUGGGACUCAAGGUAGAACAUUUUUGAAAUCUUUGAAUUAUAUGCAAUUUCAUGUAUUUGAGUGGCAGUUCCUGUGGUUCUCUCACCCAGUACCAGGCACAGCCUUGAACAGAGCCCGGCUCAUUCAGCAGAACAUAAUUUUAACAGUAAUAUUAAUGAAGCUGAUAACUUUACUGAUAAGAUUUAUAGAAACACAGAACAAAAAGGAAAUACAUUUUACAUUCAUCCCAAAUAUAGGGUAUAAUGUAUUGACCCUCCUCAAGCUUGCAGCCUUUUUGAAUUCCUCAAAUAUUAAAAAGUGAGCAAGGACUUAAGUAAGCUUGCUCAACAAUAAAUCAAACAAGAAAGCAGAAUCGCUUGGAAUGCAUAAUCAUAAAACCUUAAUGCAUAAAAUAAAGAGCAAAAUACUGACCUAAAUUGUUAAUAACAGGAAAAGUCUGUUAAUACCUGUUGUAUAAACCCCUAAUCUUUACAGUUGUUAACAGAAACUGGAGUGCAUGCAUAAAAACCAUCUCUUCACAGCAAUACUGUUAUCCACAUCAAUCAAGAUAAUCCCACAGUAAAACCUUGCUAAAGAAGAGAUGUGGCAUGUUUGGAUAAUGUCAAUGAUUAGAAAACAUGUCCCAGAAAAUGCCAUGCAAAACAAGUUUAAAUAUUAAUGCACACCUUCCUAGCCCUUUUCAAACUGAGUCUCAAAUUAUUUACGUGGACCUCAAGGGCUGAAAUCUGAUUUCACUUCCAGAUGUGAAACAAACAGAAGUUUCGGUGUGCUUGAAAGCAAAAGUGUAAUUUUGUACCAUAAAACUUCACAGCUAUUAUUUUUGGUUUUUUUUUCACAAAAUAUGAAUUUUCUCUCUUCACAAGGGUGAAUUGAGUCACAGAGCAGGGACGUGAUUGAUUGAAUGUGAACACAGCACAUCUUGUUAUCUCUUGCUACCACUUCCUCCUUCAUGGCUCAAGGAAACCCAUGCUGCUGGUUCAAAUUCAUUCCAUCUUAGGCUGACAAUGCAUUUGAUCACAGCUCAUCAAAGAGGACAAUUUUGUUCUUUAGCCCACACCAUAAAUUGUGCCUGGAAGAUUUUCUUAGGGUGUAUGGUGGGUUCUGGAGAAAUCAUUGAAAAAGACAGAAUUACACACUAAACCCCUGUGAACAAUCAUGUCCUUAUUUUCUGCUCUAGAUUGAUGGUAAUUGAAUAUGAUUUGCAGGUUGGCAUUCAUAGACUGCUAAUCACUUGGGAAAAUACAACACAUUGAGCUCUCAAGUGUUGUUCUGCUGUUGUUUUUCAGGGCAAUCAAAGAAUUGGCUCUCCUUGUGUGCUUUUGAGGAAGGUGGUGUUGAAAUAAAUAUGACCAGCUUUGAACCUGAACAAGGACCAGUCUUGAGCAUGAACCAGGAGCUGCAACCAGGCGUCCCCACUAUGAGAACAUUCCUACACAGCAUCAUAAAUGUGGGAUUGCAUCAGUGCAUGAAUGAGAGCCCCUGCCAAGCUGAUCCAAGGGUAAAAUGAAAUACCAGGUGCUAAAAAGUGCAGUGCACAAGCACAGUCAAGGCACCCCGUACUCACAGACCUUAACAAGACGCACUAUCAGGUUUUCUGAGGCUUCAUAAUAGGGGAGAUUUUUUCAUGAAUGGGGUGGAGAAUGAUGGGGAUGUUUUUUACUUUGUCACCUGAGAGGUGGAGCAGUUAAAAUAUGGAGACUGAGCUGAGAAGUCAUUUGGAGUUCCUGCUGCUGAAUUACUGGAAAUUGCUGAAUGGGGAAUUGGAUGAGUCCAUGAUGUUCUUGGCAGGAGGAAUAAACACAAGGAGAUUGUGUUCCAUACAAAAAAGUGACCCAGUAUUACAAGAAUGAAAAGAGAGGGGUGACAUGGACACAACUUUGUAGUAGAAGACCAGUCUUUGCAGCAACAUUUUUAAUAAAUGGAGGGGACCAAAUUUGUUUUGUAUUUAUAUACAAACAUGGCAGUGAAAUGCUGGCCAUUCAGAUUAAAAAGUGGUGCAAGUGAAUAUUAAGAUGCCUAUUUUAAUUUUGUAGAAUUUGAAAGAUGUCAGAGAGACAAGGGGGCAAUGGGUCUGGGAUGCUGAGGGCUGUUAGUUGUAUUUAAAAAGUAUUUAAAUUUGCAGGUAAGGGUAGCCUGAGAUAAAUAUAAAGGCAAGAGUGAAGGAGACAAAAUAAUAUGUAUUUUGAAUUUCCCACCAAGAACCACAACAAAAUCUAGAGAGUUCUGUAGAAGAAAGACAGCAGGAGAAAAUUAUCAUAGUGCAGAGUCAGAGAAGCCAAAAGGAGACUGAUUUCAAGAGUUACUUAGCUGUACUGAAGGGAGCUGGCAGUUCAAGGCAGGACACAGAGUGCUAUUUCUGAGUGUAAAGAGAUUGAAUAGAGAGGAGAAAUGGUAGUUAAAGAGGCUAGGGGGUGGGACAAGUUUAUUUGUGCUGUGACAUGGGAGGAUGGGAAAGUGAGGCAAAGAUUAAAAGACAAAAUAAAAAGAGAGACUAGCAAAACUGAAUUUACAGUUCCAGUGUUGCAAUAGGUAAGUAACAGGGAGUAAAGACAAAAGAUUGUGAUGAAAGAAAAUGGAGAGGACUGAAAUAAGUUCUGAAAAUAUGUCACAGAUGUUUCUUGAAUCGCCAGACGGUAAUCACUGUGCCUGCUGGGGAUGAUGAAAGUAGACAGGUCCAGAUAUUGCAGGACAGACUGCAUCAUUCUGUGGUGCUCUGAUCCAGGCUGCCUUGUUUUCUGGGGCUGGAUUCCUUGAAAUUUGGCUGAGGUGGAUCUGAACACUGCUGUUUCUGCAUGAGGCUGCUACCCAAGCGCCUAACUGCUGCUGCAAGCUGAACUCAAAGAUGCUGAUGUGUGUAACUGUAGUGAUGGGUUUAUGGAGAACGUUCCCCUCAUGUUUUCCAUCUUGAUUCAUGGCUGACUCACGGUGGUUGGAUGAUCCUGAAGGAGCUGGAAGCGCUCGCGGGCACGCGGCAGGAAAACCAACAAGGUCACAGACACAAACAGGAAACUCUGGGAGGCUGGAUUUUGUCCACAGCAGUCAAGGGCCAGCUUUGUCACUGCCCUGCAUAACUGAGCCCCGAGUGAACUCAAGAGAGGCAGAAUGGGUGAAAAGGAAGCAUUUUUUCAUUUCACUGCAUGGCUCAGUGCUGGUGUUCUAAGGCUUUCCUGUCCCUAAUAAAUUGUACAUGGUGCUAAAUCUGUUUUCAAAUCAUAAUGUUGGCAGAAGAUUACCAUUAAAAACUUGUGGAAUCACACAGUGAAUUUUUAACAAGUUUCUUUACAAUGAACCAUAUACAUUUGUAAUAAGUAUUUGUUGGAAGAAAGAAAACGACUUUUUAACAAAGUGUAUAUCCAUAGAGGUCGUCUGAUUUGUGUAGAGACUACAUAAAGAGAGGAAAAUGUCAUUGCAUCUCUGAGGCUGGACAUUGGAUGGUAAAUUCUUAAAGUAAAAAUUCUAGUUUUUCAGUUACUCAUUAUUUUCAUCUGUAUUUGGCAAAACAGGGGCUUGUCUGGAGGAAACUAUGAUAAUUGACACACUACUACACUACUACUACUAUCAUUGUAAUAAUUCAUAUAUCAAAUCAAUUAAGAACUGACUGCAAACAAAAUUAGCAGAAUUAGAAAUAUUUCUUUUUUAUCAUCAUCAGAACCUGGGCUACAGCACAGAUGUUCUCAGCAUACCUCAGUAUGUAUUUUAAACUUCAAAACAUUUUCAUUAAACCAACUAUUAAGCAGGUAUAAGAAUUUUGAAAAAGAGUACCAUUCUCUAACAAACCAAAACUGCUAAUUUCUUAGUAAGAUGAGCCAUGGGCACAAACUGACUUUUUUGAAGUUUUCCCUCAUUUUGAUGAAAAGGAGAAGUACAGAGUGAGGUUCCUGCCCUGCCUGUGCCUGUGGACUGCAGUGUGCAUAAGAGCCCCUUUCUCUGAAAAUGACCAUUUGCUCCUUAUUUGAGGGCAUUUUAACCUCAAAUACAGUAUUUAGCACACCAAGGAGCCGUGCAAAGAUUUGGGAGGGCUUUUUACUGUGUGGUUGAGCUACUUAAAUACAAAGAGAGAGCCUAUGUUGUGUUCAAUUGUGGUUAAAAAUAAUGUGGCACGUUUUUCCAGUCUACUCUGGAUAGAUUCAGUACUCUUAUUCAUGUUAAUAAAAGUCAUGCAAUAUGAGCACAAGCCAAGACUGAAAUUAUCCCAUAGUGGCAUUUAAAUUAGUAGAGAAAAAAUAUGUUCACUCCCUGUAAUACCGGAUUCUUUUUGCCCCUUUCUUUUUAAUUUCUAUUAAAACAAAUUAUUUGAGCAUUAGUAUAUUGGCCUUAAUUAGCUUUCAUCUCUCCCCUUUUGAUUUAAAUAUUGCCAAGCUCCAUUAAACUGGCUGUGUGAAUGCCAGAAAAUGGUCUACUACUGAAUUCCAAGUGUGUGUCUUUGUCACAGUGUAAAUUGAAAGGUCACAACAGGUCAUCUAAUGGCUUGGUACAUAUUCUAUUAAUUGCACUUUUAAUGUGUAAAGCACACUGAAAUUAUCAGAUAAAGGGUGCUACAUUCUGGUAAAAUAUCAGGCGUGCCUGAAUCAUAGUCAGACAACAUAAGAAAAUUAAUAUCCUAUUAUUCUAAUAUCUGCUCCAAAAAUUUUGAUGUGGGUCCAUUUCCCUUUUCUUUUAAUUGACAGUGACUUGCUCCCCUCCAUUGCUGCUGCUCCUUUGCUUCUCAGAGAAGGGAUAUUUGGAAUUUCAAGCUGCCCUCUCCUUUUAUUUGUGGGAUAUGCUCUGUUCAGGCAAGAAUGUAGGGAUUCUGUGGUACUUCUCAGUAUUUGUCUCUCUUAAUUCCUUCAGAAGGUGUGUUUAUACUGUAUCAUUUCUCUAAAGAAACACUGUCAAGAUGAAAAAUGGAAGGCCUAGGAGUUAGGAAAAAAAAAUUAAGAUGGUGAGGCUCUGCUUUAGCUUUAUCUAGUAUCUGCAAAAAUUGAUGAAUAACAGCUGCAGAAUUGGUAUUUGCCUAAUCCUGCAAAGUGUUGGCUCCUCUGAGUGAUAAAAAGCACCCUAAAUCCCCAGUGUGUAAGAGAAUAUAUUUUUAUGCUUUUUAAUUAAUCAAAAACUUGCUAUCUUAAGCCAAAGGCUCAUCACUCAAUCUCCACUUUCCACAAUCAUUAUUACUUCCUGAUGCAUAUGUGGAGCUUAUGCAUCACUACUUCCAACAAUAUGUCAUCUUUCAACCAGAUAUCAUAAACCAAAGAGCAGCAAGACAAAAUUAGUUUUAAAGUAACUCAGUCAGCAUCAGACUGGAGCUCUGCUCACUUUUUUUGGGUGUAUUUAGUACCCCACCAUAUACAGUUUUGAGGAGGUGAAUGGUUUGGUCCCUGUUUCAAUUUAUGAAAUGAUGAAGUUUAAAGACAAAGCAGGAAAAAAUUUAGUGUCUUGCUUAUGGAGGUUGUGAAAUGACAGCUUUCAAAUUGCUUAGCAUUUGUAGGAAUUGUUAUGGUGGGAAAGCUGGGCAACCAUUUUGGCUUCAGUGAUUCUUAUGUGCAGUUAGAAAAGAAAGGUAGCCAAAUAAACAUUAAAAAAUUAAUUGCAAUAAUAUUAUUUUGCAGAAGAAUUCUAUCUUUUCUUCAGAAACCUUGGAAUAGUUUCAAAGGUCAGAAUCGCUUUUAUUUUGCAACAAGAAGUUAUAUGUUGCCUAAAUUAAACUGUCUUUUUCUCUAAAAGUAAAUUUUCAAUGCAAAAAUUUUCUUAUCUGAGUUAUUCAUCUCAGCAGCCAAAACAAAGACAAUAGUUCAAUUGCUCUUUAUUACUGAUCAUGGUGAAAUUAAGUGUUGAACCCAAAAACUAAUUCACUUCCUCAUUUGUUGCAUAUAACUGAACCUGAAAAAAAAUUGAAAAUAUUAGAAACAAAGUGGCAGCCUUGACUGUUACAUAAGGGCCAGAUUUGUAAAGGGACUUCCAUAUAUGACUAAAAUACAAUGAAAGUUGAAUUCAGACACAAUUUUUUUAAAAUAAGGUGGCAAAAGAUCCUUUCCACAGGAAUUUUCAUUCCAUUUCAGAUUCACUUCAGCUGAAACAUGCAUGCAGGUACCAGAAGGUUCACAGACCUGCAGCAGAUAAGCGACUGCAUUCAGCUCUUCAAAACAUUCCCAGGAAGUGCAUUUCCAAACCCCACUGUGAAGAUAUUCUUGAAACAGAAUGUCAUCAUCUUGUGCAUAAAUAUUUGUGCUGGGAAGACUUUUCCGUAAAAAAAGCUUGGAACGUAGCUGUGCAAUAAAAAAGAGGUAUGUUGCUCUUAUGGAUAAAGAGUGUUUCCAAAGUGUUGACAACCAACCCAAACAAAAAAACCAAAAAGAUUUCAGAGUAUAGAUGGAUGUACUAGUAAUUUUAGCUGUGUCAGGAUGUUACUUGCCAAAGAAACAAAUUUUAUAUAUUCCUGUGGUAGAACAAAUUUUGGUUCUGCAGUAUGUUUUCUGAAUUGCUGUCCAGUAUUUAAGCUGGUGUAAUUCAAUAUAGAUUAUUGAGCAGAAUAUUGUCUGCACUUUUAUUAUAAACUAUCAGUCUGCACUGUGAAGUUAUUUCUAUUUUGUCUUUUUUGAGAAGAGACUGCCCCGAGAGAUAGGUCCCAAAAGGCCUAACAAUAUCGCUUUUGAAACUAUUUACGUUCCUGACACUGCAUAAUAAAAUUUUUAUUCUGUUCUUUUGUGACUUUUUUAUUGCUUGCUUUUGAAACAUCAUGUUUUAUUAUCUUUCAGUCCUGUUAUCAAUCUUGAGCAAUAAGAUGACUGUAAUGACCUGUUUUAAUAAGCCUAUUACAGAUUUCUAUGUUGAUUUGACAUACCUAAGUAUAGUAAAAUGGUUUAUGAGGAAUAAACAGCUGAGUAAUAUCACAUUCAUAUCCUUGGAGAUGAAGUGAUUGUAGAUGAGAAAUAAAUAAUUGAAGAAGA